CCUACGGGAGGUAGCAGUGGGGGAUAUUGCACAAUGGGGGAAACCCUGAUGCAGCGACGCCGCGUGUGGGAAGACGGUCCUCUGGAUUGUAAACCACUGUCCCCAGGGACGAAGAUGACGGUACCUGGGGAGGACGCUCCGGCCAACUACGUGCCAGCAGCCGCGGUAAUACGUAGGGAGCGAGCGUUGUACGGAAUUACUGGGUGUAAAGGGAGCGUAGGCGGGGAAGCAAGUUGGUGUCAAAACUACCGGCUCAACUGGUAGUCGCACUCAAAACUGCAGCUCUUGAGGGAAGUAGAGGCAGGCGGAAUGCCUAGUGUAGCGAUGAAAUGCGUAGAUAUUAGGAGGAACUCUGGUGGCGAAGGCGGCCUGCUGGACUGUGACUGACGUUGAGGCCCGAAGGCGUGGGGAGCAAACAGGAUUAGAUACCCGGGUAGUC
rnacentral:rRNA from 1 species